GCAGUCGAGCGGGGGAAGGUAGCUUGCUACCGGACCUAGCGGCGGACGGGUGAGUAAUGCUUAGGAAUCUGCCUAUUAGUGGGGGACAACAUCUCGAAAGGGAUGCUAAUACCGCAUACGUCCUACGGGAGAAAGCAGGGGAUCUUCGGACCUUGCGCUAAUAGAUGAGCCUAAGUCGGAUUAGCUAGUUGGUGGGGUAAAGGCCUACCAAGGCGACGAUCUGUAGCGGGUCUGAGAGGAUGAUCCGCCACACUGGGACUGAGACACGGCCCAGACUCCUACGGGAGGCAGCAGUGGGGAAUAUUGGACAAUGGGGGGAACCCUGAUCCAGCCAUGCCGCGUGUGUGAAGAAGGCCUUAUGGUUGUAAAGCACUUUAAGCGAGGAGGAGGCUACUUUAGUUAAUACCUAGAGAUAGUGGACGUUACUCGCAGAAUAAGCACCGGCUAACUCUGUGCCAGCAGCCGCGGUAAUACAGAGGGUGCGAGCGUUAAUCGGAUUUACUGGGCGUAAAGCGUGCGUAGGCGGCUUAUUAAGUCGGAUGUGAAAUCCCCGAGCUUAACUUGGGAAUUGCAUUCGAUACUGGUGAGCUAGAGUAUGGGAGAGGAUGGUAGAAUUCCAGGUGUAGCGGUGAAAUGCGUAGAGAUCU
rnacentral:rRNA from 1 species